GUAUGGCCGAAGAGUCCCAAACUAGGACGAAACAGCUGUCCAGUAC
rnacentral:hammerhead_ribozyme from 1 species